CCCCUCCAGAAUAAAAACCUUCUCACCAAAAUAACGCACUAAAUAGAGCCCGAAUCUAUACGUAAUCAAUACUGAUCUGGAACCAAUCUGUUCCUGGCUGGCUGCAUGCGGAUCCCAGGGCUGCAAGUGCUUGUGAUUACAUGGAGUGGGAGGGUCAUUUUCUAACAAGGGUGCUCACUGUAUCUGAGCUCCAAAUUAUCCAGAGAGGACAGAUGGCCCUUCUGAUCUUAUAAUGAGAGCAGGGAGUGAUUAUCAGUCUGAACCAAAAAAAUGAUGCUCUGCUGACAUAUUUUCACAGUUCUAAAAUCUGUGCUUGCACUUGUGCCUCGCUUCAUAUCCCUCUUCGUUUAAAUUAAGCAUCGUUUGGGAUUUUGGAGGGCUGUGUGAAAUCCGUUUAUUUAUCUCUGUCUGUGCGUCUCUGCCUCUCUCUCCAUGUAUCUAUCUAGGACAUGUGUACAGACACAAAACAAAGGAAAGCAAAAGGUCACUUCACAGGAACUCUUAAGCCAAAUCACGCUUGGCAAAAUAUUUAUAUAUAAAUAUAUUUGCCAAUAAUUAAGAAGCCCAGCUGCCUCCCGGAUGCCUAGAUUUUAUGCUUGCUUCUUGGCAGUUUUCUGGAGCUGUUGCAUUCCAUCUAGUUACUGUAACACACGGGUUGUCAGCCCUGACUCGAGCUCCUUAAAAAAAAAAAAAAAAAAAAGAUGUUGUUAUAUGUACUAUAUAUACAGACAUAUUUGAUUCACGUUUUGUUUAAUUUUUUUUUUUUUUUUUCCAGAAGUAUUUGUGGCAGAGAGCAGAAUCCCCUAUGGAGGACAAAUAAACUCAUGAUGGAUGAGGAGAAUACAAAGGAGGCCCAGAGAAGUUUCCAAAAUAGCUCUGGUGACUGCCAGGAGUCAGAUCUUCAUCCCUUCCCUGUUCAAGUCUCUCAGAGAACAGUGUUGGUGCUCUUCUGCUUUCUGUCUUGGAACACGUCCAGAAAUAGCAAAAUGCUGCAGAAGAGGCUGUUCACAGAGGAGGUCUGGGAGUACUGA
rnacentral:lncRNA from 1 species